UGCAGUCGAGCGGAGAUGAGGUGCUUGCACCUUAUCUUAGCGGCGGACGGGUGAGUAAUGCUUAGGAAUCUGCCUAUUAGUGGGGGACAACAUUCCGAAAGGAAUGCUAAUACCGCAUACGUCCUACGGGAGAAAGCAGGGGAUCUUCGGACCUUGCGCUAAUAGAUGAGCCUAAGUCGGAUUAGCUAGUUGGUGGGGUAAAGGCCUACCAAGGCGACGAUCUGUAGCGGGUCUGAGAGGAUGAUCCGCCACACUGGGACUGAGACACGGCCCAGACUCCUACGGGAGGCAGCAGUGGGGAAUAUUGGACAAUGGGGGGAACCCUGAUCCAGCCAUGCCGCGUGUGUGAAGAAGGCCUUAUGGUUGUAAAGCACUUUAAGCGAGGAGGAGGCUACUGAGACUAAUACUCUUGGAUAGUGGACGUUACUCGCAGAAUAAGCACCGGCUAACUCUGUGCCAGCAGCCGCGGUAAUACAGAGGGUGCGAGCGUUAAUCGGAUUUACUGGGCGUAAAGCGUGCGUAGGCGGCUUUUUAAGUCGGAUGUGAAAUCCCCGAGCUUAACUUGGGAAUUGCAUUCGAUACUGGGAAGCUAGAGUAUGGGAGAGGAUGGUAGAAUUCCAGGUGUAGCGGUGAAAUGCGUAGAGAUCUGGAGGAAUACCGAUGGCGAAGGCAGCCAUCUGGCCUAAUACUGACGCUGAGGUACGAAAGCAUGGGGAGCAAACAGGAUUAGAUACCCUGGUAGUCCAUGCCGUAAACGAUGUCUACUAGCCGUUGGGGCCUUUGAGGCUUUAGUGGCGCAGCUAACGCGAUAAGUAGACCGCCUGGGG
rnacentral:rRNA from 1 species